CAGUCGAGCGAAUGGAUUAGAUCGUGCUCUUAUGAAGUUAGCGGCGGACGGGUGAGUAACACGUGGGUAGCCUGCCCCUCAGACUGGGAUAACUCCGGGAAACCGGGGCUAAUACCGGAUAACAUUUUGAACUGCAGGGUUCGAAAUUGAAUUGCGGCUUCGGCUGUCACUUAUGGAUGGACCCGCUUCGCAUUAGCUAGUUGGUGAGGUAACGGCUCACCAAGGCAACGAUGCGUAGCCGACCUGAGAGGGUGAUCGGCCGACUGGGACUGAGACACGGCCCAGACUCCUACGGGAGGCAUAUUUAGGGAAUCUUCCGCAAUGGACGAAAGUCUGACGGAGCAACGCCGCGUGAGUGAUGAAGGCUUUCCGGUCGUAAAACUCUGUUGUUAGGGAAGAACAAGUGCUAGUUGAAUAAGCUGGCACCUUGACUGUACCUAACCGAAAAGCCACAGCUAACUACGUGCCAGCAGC
rnacentral:rRNA from 1 species